GCCAGGUGUGGUGGCUCACACCUGUAAUCCCAGCUACUCAGGAGGCUGAGGCACAAGAAUCACUUGAACCCAGGAGGGCAGAGGUUGCGGUGAGCCAAGAUCAUGCCACUGCACUUCAGCCUGGGUGACGGAGAGAGACUCUGUCUCAA
rfam:Homo sapiens chromosome 20, GRCh38 reference primary assembly.